GUGAAAUACAGCACAGUAAAUUAUACAGUAAUACUCAGAAAUAAUUGUAUAAUUACUUUCAAUUCGUGAACCAAUAAGAUAAGUGAAUUCUCUACAGAACUGUACAAGUUUUUAUAAUCAAUUCUAUGAACAGAAUAAACCAACCAAGUUUAAUUAAGAUGACCACGAGUAUUGACUGCCCCGCGAACUGAACAAGUUUUCCAUAACCAAGUGUUCCGACAGCUUACAGACGUUGAUGUGCGGAAACAUACCCAUUUAUGAGUAUCAGAAGUACUCAGUUUUAGAUUCCAUUCCAGCUGUCAUAAAUUGGGUGCUUUUACAAAUAAGAAAUUGGGUAAUAUAUUACCCAUCCGAUGAUUGGAAUUCAACAAAAAAAAAAUGGAGUCGACAACUGAGGACUUGAAAUAUUCUAUUGCAUUCAGUACUCUAAAAUAUUAAUCUCAACAAGGACUUUUUGCACGCUCUAGGAUGGAUGAGUAAAAAUAGCCCUAAACUUUGUGACAGUGGUCUUCUUGGUGAUAAUAAGACUAUAACGGCACGGUUUAAGAUGCGAACGUACAUUGCGAAGGCGUUAUGCGACAGCAGAGCUACAGUGGAUGUCCUGCUUCUAGAGAG